rnacentral:rRNA from 1 species
GGUGACUAUACGUGCAGGGUCACACCCGUUCCCAUUCCGAACACGGAAGUUAAGCCUGUACGGCCGAUGGUAGUCGAAAGGUG